GAAAACAGAGAACCGCAAAAAAGUUAUAUGAAGCCACACCUUUCGACAAAGAAAGCACAGCUUCAACAACAGUGAGAACAAGCAGAGAGAGAAAGUCUUCACCUUCAAAUUUCCUGUUAGAUCACUAUAUAAUAUUGUAGUUACUUCAUACUGCAGAGACAGAAAUGGAGUUUGAAGAUCAAGAGGAGCAAGAGGAAGAGCUCUGUAUGGCCACAGCACCGAGUUACGACUCACUCACUCACCCUUCCCGAGUUAAGAUGCCAGGUGGCGGUGCAGAACCCAUCAUGGCUCACCCUCUCAGAAACAACA
rnacentral:lncRNA from 1 species